UACGUAGGGUGCGAGCGUUAAUCGGAAUUACUGGGCGUAAAGCGUGCGCAGGCGGUUUUGUAAGCCAGAUGUGAAAGCCCCGGGCUUAACCUGGGAAUGGCAUUUGGGACUGCAAGGCUUGAGUGCGGCAGAGGAGACUGGAAUUCCCGGUGUAGCAGUGAAAUACGUAGAUAUCGGGAGGAAUACCGAUGGCGAAGGCAGGUCUCUGGGCUGACACUGACGCUCAUGCACGAAAGCGUGGGGAGCAAACAGG
rnacentral:rRNA from 1 species